rnacentral:rRNA from 1 species
UACGUAGGGGGCAAGCGUUGUCCGGAUUUACUGGGUGUAAAGGGCGUGUAGCCGGGCUGACAAGUCAGAUGUGAAAUCCCGUGGCUCAACCACGGAACUGCAUUUGAAACUGUCGGUCUUGAGUAUCGGAGAGGCAGGCGGAAUUCCUAGUGUAGCGGUGAAAUGCGUAGAUAUUAGGAGGAACACCAGUGGCGAAGGCGGCCGCCUGGCCUGUUGCUGACGCUGAGGCACGAAAGCGUGGGGAGCAAAUAGG